AUUGAACGCUGGCGGCAGGCCUAACACAUGCAAGUCGAGCGGAUGAAGGGAGCUUGCUCCUGGAUUCAGCGGCGGACGGGUGAGUAAUGCCUAGGAAUCUGCCUGGUCGUGGGGGAUAACGUCCGGACACGGGCGCUAAUACCGCAUACGUCCUGAGGGUGAAAGUGGGGGAUCUUCGGACCUCACGCUAUCAGAUGAGCCUAGGUCGGAUUAGCUAGUUGGUGGGGUAAAGGCCUACCAAGGCGACGAUCCGUAACUGGUCUGAGAGGAUGAUCAGUCACACUGGAACUGAGACACGGUCCAGACUCCUACGGGAGGCAGCAGUGGGGAAUAUUGGACAAUGGGCGAAAGCCUGAUCCAGCCAUGCCGCGUGUGUGAAGAAGGUCUUCGGAUUGUAAAGCACUUUAAGUUGGGAGGAAGGGCAGUAAGUUAAUACCUUGCUGUUUUGACGUUACCAACAGAAUAAGCACCGGCUAACUUCGUG
rnacentral:rRNA from 1 species